rnacentral:lncRNA from 1 species
CUCCCAAAGUGCUGGGAUUACCGGCAUGAGCCACCGCGCCCAUCCUGGUCUGAAAGGGUUUUCUAGAGCAGCACACGGAGCUUCAGGAAAUCUGUGGAUGCCGACGAGGUCAGGGGGAAGGAUGUAAGGUGUCCCAAGCUGGGGCCAUAUUACAGAUCAGCCAAGAAGCAGGCACUGUGACUUCAGCAAUCAGUUCUCUACAGAGGAGGUCACUUGCUUGGGAACUUCUACUAAAAGAAGCCACUCAAAAUGACCACCAUCUGGAGACUGUGUAGAGGACAGUGGCCUUGGAGGGGAGCAAAAGGCAUGGAGUCAAAGGCUGGAGGGAGCCCCUCGGCAUGGCACUGUGAGGAGGGAGAGACAGCUCACACCAGGCACAGCUCCCAGGAAAAAAACACCACUUUCACAGGUGACUUCCCCACCUCCUGGUGCUGGUUCAGGAGAGCUCAGCUAAAAUCUGUCCACUGAUCUUUUCUGCCUCCCCUGUGCUCCACCUAUGGCUGUCUAGGGCACUUCACCCUCACAAGCAGGCCUGCCCAGCCUCCACUCCUCAUUCCCCCGGCCCAUUGGCCUGGGAACCAGGGCCUCAGGUCUGCUUUGUGCAUUAAUGAGAAUCUAGGCAAGCAACCCAGACCACUGACCUUCACCAGAGCCAGGCACUUCCAGGAGGCACCUGUCUGAGACAAUCCUGUAGUCCUAAGACCCAAGGAGCCUGAUGCUUUCGAGGUCCUGCCUGGGAAGGCUGAGUGGCCCUGAAUAUUUUCAACUCAUGGUUGAUUGAAUCUGCAGAUGCGGAACCUGUGGAUAUGGACAGCUGACUGUAACACACACCUAUGAUAAAGUUUAAUUAUAAAUUAGACACAGUAAGAAAUUAACAACAAUAACUCAUAAUAAAAUUGAAUAAUUCUAACACACUGU